rnacentral:rRNA from 1 species
GACGAACGCUGGCGGCGUGCUUAACACAUGCAAGUCGAACGCUGAAGCUCAGCUUGCUGGGUGGCUGAGUGGCGAACGGGUGAGUAACACGUGAGUAACCUGCCCUCUUCUUUGGGAUAACGCCCGGAAACGGGUGCUAAUACUGGAUAUUCACUGAUUCUCGCAUGGGGGUUGGUGGAAAGGUUUUUUCUGGUGGGGGAUGGGCUCGCGGCCUAUCAGCUUGUUGGUGGGGUGAUGGCCUACCAAGGCUUUGACGGGUAGCCGGCCUGAGAGGGUGACCGGUCACAUUGGGACUGAGAUACGGCCCAGACUCCUACGGGAGGCAGCAGUGGGGAAUAUUGCACAAUGGGCGAAAGCCUGAUGCAGCGACGCCGCGUGAGGGAUGGAGGCCUUCGGGUUGUAAACCUCUUUCGCUCAUGGUCAAGCCACAGCUGUGGGUUGUGGUGAGGGUAGUGGGUAAAGAAGCGCCGGCUAACUACGU